UCUCACAAAUUACAAAUAGUCAAAAUUCUACAAUGCCUAUAUCAACAUUGAAUAAAUUAAAAGUAUUUAAAAAAAAAGCUGAUGAAGCAAGUUUGGUAAUAAUACUAUUAUCGCAAGCAUAUUGUUCUUCCAAGACAUCAAUCAAACAGGUAUAUUACUGUGAACAUAGAAAAUGGACAAUUGUUAUCAGAACAGAAGAAUUUAAUAUGCCAAAUUGGAUUACACACUUACUAGAUGUAAAGAUUAUUGAGGUAUUU